CCUACGGGAGGCAGCAGUGGGGAAUAUUGGGCAAUGGGCGCAAGCCUGACCCAGCAACGCCGCGUGAAGGAAGAAGGCUUUCGGGUUGUAAACUUCUUUUAAGAGGGAAGAGCAGAAGACGGUACCUCUUGAAUAAGCCACGGCUAACUACGUGCCAGCAGCCGCGGUAAUACGUAGGUGGCAAGCGUUGUCCGGAUUUACUGGGGGUAAAGGGCGUGCAGCCGGGAAGACAAGUCAGAUGUGAAAUCCCGCGGCUCAACCGCGGAACUGCAUUUGAAACUGUUUUUCUUGAGUACCGGAGAGGUCAUCGGAAUUCCUUGGGUAGCGGUGAAAUGCGUAGAUAUAAGGAAGAACACCAGUGGCGAAGGCGGAUGACUAGACGGCAACUGACGGUGAGGCGCGAAAGCGUGGGGAGCAAACAGGAUUAGAUACCCUUGUAGUC
rnacentral:rRNA from 1 species